rnacentral:rRNA from 1 species
AGAGUUUGAUCCUGGCUCAGGAUGAACGCUAGCGGCAGGCCUAAUACAUGCAAGUCGAACGGCUUCGGGCAGCAAUGUCCGGGGCAGUGGCGCACGGGUGCGUAACGCGUAUGCAACCAACCCCCCGCCGGGGGACAACCCCGGGAAACCGGGGCUAAUACCGCAUGUGCCGGCCGGGUGGCAUCACCGGGCCGGCAAAGAUUCAUUGGCGGGGGACGGGCAUGCGUCCGAUUAGCUAGUUGGCGGGGUAACGGCCCACCAAGGCGACGAUCGGUAGGGGACCUGAGAGGGUGAUCCCCCACACUGGCACUGAGAUACGGGCCAGACUCCUACGGGAGGCAGCAGUAGGGAAUAUUGGGCAAUGGUGGCAACACUGACCCAGCCAUGCCGCGUGCAGGAAGAAGGCCCUACGGGUCGUAAACUGCUUUUCGGGGGGGAGAACACCGGGCCUGCGGGCUUGGCUGACGGUACCCCCGGAAUAAGCCACGGCUAACUACGUGCCAGCAGCCGCGGUAAUACGUAGGUGGCGAGCGUUGUCCGGAUUUAUUGGGUUUAAAGGGUGCGUAGGCGGGCGGCUAAGUCAGGGGUGAAAGACGGUGGCUCAACCAUCGCAGUGCCUUUGAUACUGGCCGCCUUGAGUGCGGGCGAGGUCUGCGGAAUGGACCGUGUAGCGGUGAAAUGCUCAGAUACGGUCCGGAACACCGAUUGCGAAGGCAGCA